UACGGAGGGUGCGAGCGUUGUCCGGAAUCACUGGGCGUAAAGGGCGCGUAGGCGGCGCGGGUAGUCAUCGGUGAAAGUUCAGGGCUCAACUCUGAAUCGGCCGGUGAUACUCCCGUGCUCGAGCACUGUAGAGGCAGGUGGAAUUCCGGGUGUAGCGGUGGAAUGCGUAGAGAUCGGGAGGAACAUCAGUUGCGAAGGCGGCUCUCUGGACCAGCACUGACACUGAGGCACGAAAGCGUGGGGAGCAAACAGG
rnacentral:rRNA from 1 species